CUCCUCACGCAUAGCAUAGGGUUCCUCUCGAGAGAGGUGCGCCGCCGCCGCCGGAUUCCUCCUCCCCGGCGAAAAGUCCUUCCCCUACCUUCUUCCUUCAUGAUGCGGGGAGCUGGAAAUGGAGGAUUGCCUCCGCCAGGCUGAGGGGUCGACCUGGAAGCCGCCUUGAAUGACCACAACGGAUCUGGCCAUCAGCGAUUAGGCCGAGCCUCCUGCUCCGGCCACGGCCAUCCCGACGUCGGAUCUGGUGCUCAUGCUAUGUUCUUCUCCUCGUGCAACCCCUCCCCCAUGUUUAUUUUGCCUCCGUCCUACCCCGCUCUGCAUCAACUAACUCGGCGCUGCAUGAUCCUGGGGCAGUGAGGUUGAUCGGAUGGUGUUCGUCAUGUUAGGAAGAUGAGUGUGUAACUCGUGGAGUGCAAUCUGUUGCAUGUUAGGAAGUGGCCGUGACCUUGAUGGGUUGGGGCUCGCCUCCCACACUUCUCUUCCUCGUGUACAACAACCAUGGCGGCCCCUAGGAAUGCUUGAUCUAAAAAUCCCUUGAAUUCGUUGCCCAAGUUGAAUCCUAUGACCUGACUAUCUGUCAUGGUGCAGGUGUCGAAUUGUUGAUGGAGGCUUUAGGUCGUCCUUCUCAAGAAGCUGAGGCUGGCCAUUAAGGAUCUGGGGUGAAGGUCAUGUCAUCUCUUCUCGUGGAUCUAAUGCCCACUGCUUCCACUGCUUAUAUUUUGAGCUCUUUGAUCUGAGCAAAAACCAUGGGAAGAAUUCACGGACAGGUACUGCUGAAUCAAUAGCAGCAUGCCAGAAACUGAAGGCAGACAGACCUCCAAGCAGCAUUCUGUGUCCUCCCAAAGGACAUGCAGCAGCUGCUGCUUUCCAAUCCUAAACGAGCCAUACUUCUUCAAGUGAGGCAAGAAAAGGUCUCAAGACUUGGGGACAUUGUCUCCCAGACAAGUUUGUAGCAGUUCACUUUUUCUUUGUACUAUUAAUAUUGCAAUUCUUUUAUCCACAGAGUAAAAAAUUCGUACGAUUAUUUAUACAUGGGUGCUGGCCUGCUGGAUUUGACUCAUUUUUAUCCACAAAGUCUAAAAUUUACACGCAUUUUUUAUAUAUACAUGGCUGCUGGAUUUGACUCAAAUUACCUUUGUGUCUCACCCUGUAUGAUUCCACUAAAAAAAGUUUCAUUGAAGAAACAGUAACAUAACCAAAUGAUUUAUUGUCUUGGUUCUUUUUUUAUCUGCAGAAACUAUAUAGCUUAAGAAAUCAUAUUUUACAUUAUGUAACAGUCCUGAGCAUCCUCCAUUAAAAAUAAAUAGGCAAGAUUAUUCAGAUUGAGGAUCUUAAGGAGUGAUGUUAAUGGUUGGUCUUAUAGCUGGAUGCCCAUCAAAUUAUGCUGGGGUGCGAACUGUCCCGACAACGACACUUCUGCCUGCUGACUGCGUGAAGGACUGCCUGGCUCAACCUCUAUCUCAAUGUUAACUCAAUGCCCAACAAUGUCGUCAAUUGUGAGCAAGCAGUUACUUCAAAUUCCAUUGCCCAAAUGCCGUAUGUACGUACCCUGAGUACAAGAGACGAUGGAUGCAAAAGUCAGAAAAUUAGGAACCUGAAGGGAAAAUGGAAGGCGGCUUUGAUCGACAUUCAGCCCAGAGUACAAGGAUGAUCCCUACAUCUAUACUUUUGAUAUGCUGAAGCACAUUGGCAUUGAGCCAAGGCAGAUGUAGGGCAGUGGUGGCGGGUGCAUAUGUAGGGCAGCGGGAGCGAGUACAACCAUCUUAGGGAGAUCCUCUUCUCAUAUCAUGCCCAGUUGUUACUCCUCCAUUCACUCGCCUCUCACCAUAUGUUCUACAAUAGCACGAUGGCGGCGGCACAGAUGUGUGCAGCGGUGAUGUUCUGCUCAAGGAGAGUCUCUGGCGGCUCGGCGGGGAUGCGCUGACCCUCUCUACGUCAGCAUUUUCUGGCGGCAUCUGCCCCAUCCAUCGAUGGUGUGGCGCCUUUGAUCCGGGAAAGGAGGUAGUGGCCUUCUUCAGUGGUGUGUUGGAUGUGACGUGCUGGGGCCCGUAGCUGCUUGGCGACGGCAUGCCCCGCUGGUGUCAGGCCCUCUCUCCUUCGAGCUGGUGCGAUUUUGUUCUUGCUGCAGCAUUCCAUGAGGACCUCGAUGUUUUCGGCUCCUCUCUCUAUUUUAGUCUACAGACUACAUCAAUUAAGGUUCAACUGUCUUAUGUCUCUACUUCGUAGAUUGUAUACAUGCACAAGCUAAAUAUAGGUUGCAAGAGGUUGGAUGAAGAUGCAACACAUUCAUGUAAAUGUUGCUCCUGCACUGUGUUUAUGCACACUUUUUAGUAUGAAUCACUACACGCUGGAGAAGUUCCUGGAGGCGAUCAGGAGCAGAGGCAUCAAGAUAUGCCCUGGGUGCAAUGCCUCGCAGGCUGUAGCACCUGCCCAGUUAUGCAUAUGUCGGCAAGACAAGUUUUGCCUGCUCUGCUUCAUAUCAGUCUCUUCUCAUCGCGGCCAGAGCUUGGAAGCAAUUCAACUAGGCACCAUGACGCUAGAUGGAAGUACAACUUCUUGUCGGAAGGUAUGUGACUUUGGUUAU